CGUUAGUAAAUCUGCUUAGCAAUCCAAAGGUGUGACGCGGAGCGAACAAAAGUAGCGAAGUUGGCGAUUCCGGCUGUCGAGAAAAGCCGCUAUUGUGUGAUGCAUGCCCGUACCGUAAACCGACACAGGUGGAUGAGGAGAGAAUCCUAAGGCCGGCGGAGAAGCAUUGUUAAGGAACUCGGCAAAAUGACCCUGUAACUUCGGGAUAAAGGGUGCCUGCGCAAGCAGGCCGCAGAGAAUAGGCUCAAGCAACUGUUUAGCAAAAACACAGGUCUAUGCAAAACCGAAAGGUGAGGUAUAUGGGCUGACGCCUGCCCGGUGCUGGAAGGUUACGAGGAGAGGUUAGCGCAAGUGAAGCUUUGAAUCCAAGCCCCAGUAAACGGCGGCCGUAACUAUAACGGUCCUAAGGUAGCGAAAUUCCUUGUCGGGUAAGUUCCGACCCGCACGAAAGGCGUAAUGAUUUGAGCGCUGUCUCGGCAAUGCACCCGGUGAAAUUGAAGUACCAGUGAAGAUGCUGGUUACCUGCGCCAGGACGGAAAGACCCCAUGGAGCUUUACUCUAGUUUGAUACUGGGAUUCGGUAAUGCAUGUACAGGAUAGGUGGGAGGCUGAGAAAGGAGAACGCCAGUUUUCCUGGAGCCGGUGUUGGGAUACCACCCUUGCGUUACUGGGUUUCUAACCUGCAGCCGUGACCCGGCUGGGGGACAAUGUCAGACGGGGAGUUUGACUGGGGCGGUCGCCUCCGAAAGGGUAUCGGAGGCGCUCAAAGGUUCCCUCAGGAUGGUUGGAAACCAUCCAAAGAGUGCAAAGGCAGAAGGGAGCUUGACUGCGAGAGCGACGGUUCGAGCAGGUACGAAAGUAGGACUUAGUGAUCCGGUGGCAUAAAGUGGGAUUGCCAUCGCUCAACGGAUAAAAGCUACCCUGGGAUAACAGGCUUAUCACUCCCAAGAGUUCACAUCGACGGAGUGUUUUGGCACCUCGAUGUCGGCUCAUCCCAUCCUGGGGCUGAAGUAGGUCCCAAGGGUUGGGCUGUUCGCCCAUUAAAGCGGUACGCGAGCUGGGUUCAGAACGUCGUGAGACAGUUCGGUCCCUAUCCGGCGUGGGCGUAGGAUAUUUGAGAGGAGCUGUCCUUAGUACGAGAGGACCGGGAUGGACUGACCUCUGGUGUAUCGGUUGAGUAUCAGACUCAUGGCCGAGUAGCCAAGUCGGGACGGGAUAAACGCUGAAGGCAUCUAAGCGUGAAGCCCCCCUCAAGAUGAGAUAUCCCAUACGCAAGUAGUAAGACCCCUUGAAGACGACGAGGUAGAUAGGGCAGAGGUGGAAGCGCGGUAACGCGUGGAGCUGACUGUCACUAAUAGGUCGAGGGCUUGACC
rnacentral:rRNA from 1 species